GACAGAGGUGCCGAGCGUUAGGCGGAAUCACUGGGCUUAAAGCGUGUGUAGGCGGGCGGGCAAGUACCUUGCGAAAUCCCACGGCUCAACCGUGGAACUGCUGGGUAUACUGCCUGUCUUGAGCCAGCCAGGGGCAGUCGGAACAGACGGUGGAGCGGUGAAAUGCGUAGAUAUCGUCUGGAACGCCAAAGGUGAAAACAGACUGCUGGGGCUGUGCUGACGCUGAGACACGAAAGCCAGGGGAGCGAACGGG
rnacentral:rRNA from 1 species